GUGUCAGCAGCCGCGGUAAUACGAACUGUGCAAACGUUAUUCGGAAUCACUGGGCUUACAGGGUGCGUAGGCGGUCUGUUAAGUAGGGUGUGAAAGCCCCCGGCUCAACCGGGGAAUUGCGCCCUAAACUGGCGGACUGGAGUGAGAUAGGGGUGUGCGGAACUUCCGGUGGAGCGGUGAAAUGUGUUGAUAUCGGAAGGAACGCCGGUGGCGAAAGCGGCACACUGGAUCUCAACUGACGCUGAGGCACGAAAGCCAGGGGAGCGAACGGGAUUAGAAACCCUUGUAGUCC
rnacentral:rRNA from 1 species